AACGAACGCUGGCGGCAGGCUUAACACAUGCAAGUCGAACAGAUCCUUCGGGCUUAGUGGCAGACGGGUGAGUAACGCGUGGGAAAGUACCCUUUGCUAUGGAAUAACUCAGGGAAACUUGAGCUAAUACCGUAUGUGCCCUACGGGGGAAAGAUUUAUCGGCAAAGGAUCGGCCCGCGUGGGAUUAGCUAGUUGGUGGGGUAAUGGCCUACCACGGGGACGAUCCAUAGCUGGUCUGAGAGGAAGGUCCGCCACACUGGGACUGAGACACGGCCCAGACUACUACAGGAUGCAGCAGUGGGUAAUAUUGGACAAUGGGCGCAAGGCUGAUCCAGCCAUGCCUCGUGAGUGAUUUAGGUCUUAGGAUUGGAAAGCUCUUUCACCGGUGAAGAUAAUGACGGUAGCCGGAGAAGAAGCCCCGGCUAACUUCGUG
rnacentral:rRNA from 1 species